UGUGGAACAAUGCUUUAAGGUAAUCUUGGUAAUUAUCUUCCAGGACAGGCCCUUCUCCUGCUCUUAUAUUUUUUGACUUGGAUUUUAUGAUUGUUCUCUCCAGCAAAGAGUAUAAUAACUGAAGAAGAAAUAAAAGAACUGGAAUCGGUCAUCUGUCCAAAGAAUCCAAAAUUUCCUUUUGGCGAGGGGGAAUGCUGUGAUGGCCAUGGAAAUGCACCACUCCAAUCUCCUGCCAUGGGAAACGUAACUGGCUGACAGCACGAGUUACUCCUCAUCUGGAUCCAUGACUAAAAUGGAGGCCAUGCUUCUUAUGGCUUCUUCCAUCAAAGGACUGAGCAUGGCAAGGCUACGAAGACAGGCUCAAUCUGGCAAGAUACAAGACUCUGCUGACGGCUGAACUUUGCAUGAGGACUCUCAGCUGGCCUGGCUGAUCUUUUCUGUGCCGCAGUCCAUGCAGCAGUUCAAGACUCUUCCCAUCUGAUCCUUUUCCUCCCCUCCUUCUCUUCCUCCUGCGUAGGUCAGGCCUGCAUCCUGGCUUGAUGCCUCCUUGAAGCCUCUUGCACACUGAAAUCAACUCUGGUGUCUGCUUCUCAGUGGAUCGGACCUAAUGCCAAUGUUACUUAGAAACAAAAAUCUGGAUGCUAGGGUUGCUCGUGGCUACUGGUGUAGUCUCUGGUACCUGGCAAUUAUUCCAGAGGAAGAAGAUGGGACCCAGACACGCCACUGAUUGUUAACCAAUUGGCUGUCCCUUCCAGCCUAAACCAUUCUGAAUUGGAUAAUGAUGGUCUGGUCAUGCUUCUUCGGUGGGCUACUCCUUCCCAUAUGGACAGUAUCCAGAGGUGGAGACUGGGAAGAAGCCAAGAAUCUGAAGAAGUUACUUGGACAAGAAAAUUCUGGAAAAAUGAUGGAAAUUCAGAAUGCACGAAUGAAGAGCAACCAAAUGAGAGGUUCCUCAUGACGGGAAUGGCAGACAAAUGAGAAAAAUGGACAAAAGGCAAAAUAGUUCUGUGUGCCCAAUAUUACAAAUGCUUAACAUUUAAUGUUAAAUUCUUUCUUGCUGUGCAGUAAAGUGACAUUAUUCCCCCAGAUAUAUUACAGGAUCCUUUCACCUUCCCGGCAUCCACAUUUUUCAAGUAAAUCUAUUGUACAUAACUACCUAGUGCUUUGGGAAAUCAAGGAAUCAGUGCUAUUUUCCACAUUUGGGUGGAUAGUUGGUGAAAAAAGACUAGCCUCAAAGAGGCAUACUGUGAAAGGGAUUACACAUUCCAAGGAAGCAGGAAAUCAGAACAAGAGGUAACUAGAAAAACCAUAAGCACCUCUAGAAAUUCCACAGACACUGGGAGGAAUGAGAAGUUUCCCACUGUGCCUGGGGAAUGAAGAUUCAAGCUAAUUUGACUUGAAUAUUCAUUAAUAAAUCUUAGGAGGUAUUGACCCUCAGGUCAUAUUUCCAAAUAAUUAUUUGAAGAAAGAGAAACAAAUUCUACUUUUCUAUUUCAUAAAUGAUGAAAAUGGCAAUUAUUCCUAUCAACAUUAUGAGAUCUCCUACUCCUUAUGCGUGGGCCAUACAUAAGUGUUUUCUUUCCAAAGGACACAGUAUGAAGAGGUAAAUAAAAGAGGAAUUUUGUAAUGGGAAAACUUGACAAGCAUUUUAGCUAGGUAAUCAAAGUUAAUGUUCACAGUGAUAAGUCAUGCUGACAUUGUAUACUCUGUAAAUGAUGUGAUGAAAAUGGUACGUUAUCUCUCUGGUCUCCCGCUUCAAACGCAUAACCCUAGUGUGAUCAUCAUGAACACAUUAAUUAGGAGACAUUCUACAACACUCAAUUAGCACCUCAAAAGUGUCAAGGACAUCAAAAACAAGGAAAGUCUGAAAAAUUGUCUUAGCCAAGAGGACUCUAAGGAGACAUGGUAACUAAACAGAAUGUAACCAAACUGAAAAAGAGCAUCAGGAAAAAACUAAGAAAACCUACAUAAGCUAUCUACUUUAGUUAAUGAUAAUGCAUUGAUAUUGAUUGCUUCAUUAAUUGUGGCAUAGGCACUGUAAUAAUAAUAGAGAAAACUGGGUAUGGGGUAUGUGGGAACUCUAAGAACUAUCUUCUCAUUUUUUCUGUAAAUAAGGAAGCUAUUCUAAAAAUUUUAAAUACUUUUUAAAAUGUAUGGACUGCAUUGCUCCACAGGGAAGUAGAAUAGGCACUCGAAUAUGACAUCCUGUAGAGUUAGGGGUCUCUCUGAAGAGAUUCUUGUAGACCAGCUUCUUAAUUAUCAUUAUAGCCACUUCUAUCACAGAAUAUUCUGAAACCCUUAAAACAAAUAUUGUGCCGUAUUGUCUGGUUUUCAUAGGACCUGGGGGUCUUGCUAGAAAGAAUAUGAUUCUUGUCAGAAUGUAGAGUUCAGACAAAUAGUGGAUAUUCAAACAAAAACCCAAUUACCCAAACCAUGAGUUGCCCCCCCAACCCCAUUCCCUUACUUCUAUUUCUUACCUGAGAAUAUAUCCUUCUCGCUCGUUCUGUGUCAGCCACACUGGCCAGCUGGGUUUUCCUCAACCUUCCAGACGAACUCUGUUUAUAAGCCUUGUCUGAGCUGUGAAUUGAGAUUUGUACUCGCUACCUUGAUUUCACAUGCAAUUUUUUAUCCCAGGCAUUUCUCAAAGGGCAGGACUUUCUGUUAAUUAUAGAUGUAAGUUUCAGUGUAUUGAAAUUGGGGAAUCAUUGUUAAUGGUUAACGUGAGUACUGCCGUGCUUACGUUUGGAUGACUCCUUGGAUAUUUAACUCACAUCUUUCCAGAGCAUGGCACAAUUAUGCCUCCUCUGGUCCUGUGGCUCAUACUGUCACUCACAGAUGCUCAUGAUUUAGGGUUUACUUCACUACAUUGUUGCACGGUUUGGUAUCUGGCACAGAAAAACUUGCCUAUUCUCUUCCUUGUCUCUGAAUGAGUGUUCUUUUACAUGAACUAAAUGAGAUUUUAGGGUCAGUUCUUAUUGCCUUUGAAGUUUUUAUGUUCAUCAGCAUUAUGCAUAAAACAGCACGGUGCUUUUAUCUCAAAGAUGCUAUCUCAAAGCCAAUGGUUCCUAUCCAUUUGUGGCAUUACCUAAAAAACUAUUUGUCACUGAAGCACCACAAUAUCAGACUUCUUAAUAAGAAAUAGUUAGAGGCUUUAAAAUUACAUUAUUUAAUCCAAAAUGUAUAAUGCAAAAAAAAACAAAACCUGUUGUAUACCAGUACGACAAUAAAUUAAUGGAGAUACUUCUCUCUGUGUGUGUAUGUGUGUGUGUGUGUGUGUGUGUGUGUGCGUGCACGUGUGUGUGGGUGUGUGUAUAUGUUUCAUUUGAUUUUGACUGUAAAUAAGUCACACCUCAAUUCUCAAAUGAACCACAGUGGACUGAAUAAAUCCAUUUCUUGUACUCACAUGCUAUUGCUUCUAAUACCACUUGAAAAACACAUACUGUUCAACAAAACUAGAAUUUUUGUAUUUUCUUUCACAUAAAAGACUAGAUAGAAACUAAAUCAAAGCAUGUAUAAUUAAUCUUACUAUAUAUUUGUUUUGUAUUAAUUGAUACACACCUAUUUUAAACAUGUAUUCUAUCUUAUUCUUUAUUCUAACUUUUUAAAUAUGGCUUGCAUAGUGAAAGUGCUGCCUUAAAUGUGACUGUUGAGAUAAAUCAUGGUAGAGUAGAUAUAUUGGAUGUUUCAUGGUUCUAUCCAAAUAGAGUGGUCACCUAGUAUUGUACAUUUUCACGAAGUCCCCUCUUUCAAAGAGUUGUAACCAUGAUGAAAUCAUUUCAGGUAAAACUUCUUUUUAAGUAGUUUCAUGGAUUUAAUGCUGUGAAACUCUAACAAUUGAAGUAAAGAGAUGACAAAUGAAAUAAUAGCUAGAUGGCUAACUUCAAAGACACACAAGUGCCUCAGGGAUCAAAGUAGCAUAGCUGUUGCAUGUUGGAAAAAACCCCGAAGUAGACA